rnacentral:pre_miRNA from 14 species
GACCAACCGUCUUGGUUUGCCUGGGAUUGAGAGCUUUCCUGGGAUGUGGGGCUUUCAGUGCUUACGCUGG